rfam:Solanum lycopersicum cultivar Heinz 1706 chromosome 6, whole genome shotgun sequence.
GCUGAGCCAUGUAACGUGGGCUUGUAACCAAAGUUGGUGCAACAAUGUGGUGGGUUGUUAGGCUGUUCCAGAUGGCUGGACUUUGGUUGGCAUUAGUCUUGCUUGCCCUAUCCAAGCACAGAGUUGAGUCACGUGAUUCAGACGAAAGUAUGGGCUGCUUGGCUACCAGAGUAACGAAUAGCUUUCGCUCUGUGCAGUGCAAGGAUAACGAGCUAGUGCUCUCCAACUUCAACAAAAACCUGAUGGGCUCCUUAAUUAAACCAUCAUUUUU